UCUAUUUAGUUGUACUGUCAUCAUGUAAAUGUUUUAAAUUAAUAAAAUUCACCAAUUUUAUCUAAUAGCAGACAAAUUCAUGAAUUCCGUGGCACAAUGAUCAGUGUCCUGCGUAAGAAACUUGCUGUACCGGUUAGUCAAACCCUAAAGUCCACACAAUUUUUACUCUUUUUUUCAAGAAAAUAUUAGUUUUGCACAAUAAAUCCAGGAAUAUUUUCGUUUAAAAUUGUUUAAAACCUUUGUUUUUUCUCCUAUCACCUACCCGAAUUUCGUUUAAAACAGUUAGUGAAAAAAAAGUGAAAACCGAAAGAGCGGCCAUAGUCAUACAAAUAUGGAUCAUCCAAAAAAUCAGUGUCUGACAAACUAUAUUUUUACGGUGUAGCAAUUAAAUGGUGAAAUUCAAAACUACCACUAACUUCAAAGUUUGUAUUUAAAUUUUACUAGGUAGCAGUGGCGUGUACCCAGGGGGAGGUGAUAUGACACCCCUCUUGUACAUGGUCUUCUAAAUGAUCUUGAUAAGUGCAAUUAAGAUCUCUUUUCAAAUGUAUUCAAAUAGCUUCUAAUUAUUACAACACUACUUUUUACAUUGUAUAGAUCAGAAAGAAGCUUUUCCACAUUAAAAAGUAUCCAGACAUAUCUUCGAAAUUCCGUUAACCAAUUUAAUAGAUUAGC